CAGAUAAUGUUUUAUUCUAUUUGGAGAAAAUCAGCAAGUGUUUGUCUUAGACAUCGACGAAUGAUCCACAGCCGACCCCCGUACUAAAGGAUAUCGAAAAUGUUUUCGAAAUCUAUAAUUAGACUUUGCUCACGCUUUGAAAUGAGUAACUGUAGCUAUCAAAUCUUUUGUGGAGGCUCUCUACACGAGCACACAGACUGUUAAAAAAAGGGGAGGGUAUUAUUAAAAAAAAAUACAAGCGUGUAAAAAAAAUGAAGGGUAGUUUCCCGUAAUAUGAAAUAGUUUUUAAUAAUUGUGUUUGCUCGCAAACGAAAAAACCGACUUCAAUUACAUCGACGUGUAAUACAUGCACCAAAUUUAUUAACAAUUGCACCAGUCUUCGCUACGAUUUACGAGGUACGCCCUCGAUUCCUCUGGGAUCCCAUCAUCAGAUCUUGGUUUCCUUAUCAUGGUUCCACACUCAGGAUAUUU
rnacentral:misc_RNA from 1 species